UACGGGGGGGCAAGCGUUGUUCGGAAUUACUGGGCGUAAAGGGCUCGUAGGUGGCCAACUAAGUCAUACGUGAAAUCCCUUGGCUUAACCGGGGAACUGCGUCUGAUACUGGAUGGCUUGAGGUUGGGAGAGGGAUGCGGAAUUCCAGGUGUAGCGGUGAAAUGCGUAGAUAUCAUUUGGAACGCCAAUGGUGAAAACAGGUUGCUGGGAGUGUGCUGACGCUGAGACACGAAAGCCAGGGGAGCGAACGGG
rnacentral:rRNA from 1 species